CCUACGGGAGGCUGCAGUGAGGAAUAUUGGGCAAUGGGCGGAAGCCUGAACCAGCCAAGUCGCGUGAGGGAUUAAGGCCCUGCGGGUCGUAAACCUCUUUUGCCGGGGAGCAGAGGUCUGGACGGGUCCGUGCCGGGAGAGUACCCGGAGAAAAAGCAUCGGCUAACUCCGUGCCAGCAGCCGCGGUAAUACGGAGGGUGCGAGCGUUAUCCGGAUGUAUUGGGUUUAAAGGGUGCGUAGGCGGGCCGUUUAGCCGGCGGUAAAAUGUCGGGGCUCAACCCCGGCCUGGCGUCGGAACUGGGUGCCUUGAGUGGGCGAGAAGUAUGCGGAAUGCGUGGUGUAGCGGUGAAAUGCAUAGAUAUCACGAAGAACCCCGAUUGCGAAGGCAGCAUACCGGCGCACUACUGACGCUGAGGCACGAAAGUGAGGGUAUCGAACAGGAUUAGAUACCCGUGUAGUC
rnacentral:rRNA from 1 species